UUCUACGGGAGGCAGCAGUGGGGAAUAUUGGACAAUGGGCGAAAGCCUGACGGAGCAACGCCGCGUGAGUGACGAAGGCCUUCGGGUCGUAAAACUCUGUCUUUGGGGAAGAAACAAAUGACGGUACCCAAGGAGGAAGCCCCGGCUAACUACGUGCCAGCAGCCGCGGUAAAACGUAGGGGGCGAGCGUUGUCCGGAAUUACUGGGCGUAAAGGGCGUGUAGGUGGUCUGUGAAGUCGAAAGUGAAAACCUGGGGCUCAACCCCGGGCCUGCUUUCGAAACCAGCAGGCUUGAGGACAGGAGAGGGAAGCGGAAUUCCCAGUGUAGCGGUGAAAUUCGUAGAUAUUGGGAGGAACACCAGUGGCGAAAGCGGCUUCCUGGCCUGUAACUGACACUGAGGCGCGAAAGCGUGGGGAGCAAACAGGAUUAGAUACCCUGGUAGUCCACGCCGUAAACGAUGGGUGCUAAGUGUUAGGGGUAUCGACCCCCCUAGUGCUGUAGUUAACGCAAUAAGCACCCCGCCUGGGGAGUACGGUCGCAAGACUUAAAACUCAAAAGGAAUUGACGGA
rnacentral:rRNA from 1 species